GAUGAACGCUGGCGGCGUGCCUAAUACAUGCAAGUCGAGCGAACAGACGAGGAGCUUGCUCCUUUGACGUUAGCGGCGGAAGGGUGAGUAACACGUGGGUAACCUACCUAUAAGACUGGGAUAACUUCGGGAAACCGGAGCUAAUACCGGAUAAUAUUUCGAACCGCAUGGUUCGAUAGUGAAAGAUGGCUUUGCUAUCACUUAUAGAUGGACCUGCGCCGUAUUAGCUAGUUGGUAAGGUAACGGCUUACCAAGGCAACGAUACGUAGACGACCUGAGAGGGUGAUCGGCCACACUGGAACUGAGACACGGUCCAGACUCCUACGGGAGGCAGCAGUAGGGAAUCUUCCGCAAUGGGCGAAAGCCUGACGGAGCAACGCCGCGUGAGUGAUGAAGGUCUUCGGAUCGUAAAACUCUGUUAUUAGGGAAGAACAAACGUGUAAGUAACUGUGCACGUCUUGACGGUACCUAAUCAGAAAGCCACGGCUAACUACGUG
rnacentral:rRNA from 1 species